UUGUGUCUUCUUCUCUUAUAGUCUUAUCUUGAGUGAAUUCUUGGGCUCUCAAGUGGCGGCAACAACACUCAUCUUGAAGCCAACCAUCCUUCAAAUGGCGUGCACAAUUCCAAGAGCUCCAACCACAUACGUUUCCUAUUCCUUUUCAUCUUCUUCUUCCAUUUCCAUUCUAAAACAAACUCUAAAACAUGUCUUUGUUGUUUCUUGUUGAUUCAAUCGGUAGAACUUGUUUAGUUUGUGUUUAUGUUCGGUAGUUUGUAAUAGUUUGAUGUUCUUAUGGUUUUAAUUGUGUUUCUUGGAGUUUUA
rnacentral:lncRNA from 1 species